UACAGAGGGUGCGAGCGUUAAUCGGAAUUAUUGGGCGUAAAGGGCGCGUAGGCGGCUUUUCAAGUGGCGGGUGAAAUCCCUCGGCUUAACCGAGGAACUGCCUGCCAGACUGGAAGGCUUGAGACCGGGAGAGGUGAGUGGAAUUCCCAGUGUAGCGGUGAAAUGCGUAGAUAUUGGGAGGAACACCAGUGGCGAAGGCGGCUCACUGGACCGGAACUGACGCUGAGGCGCGAAAGCGUGGGGAGCAAACAGG
rnacentral:rRNA from 1 species